AGGCUAUGGUGAGGGCAUUCUUGGAGUAGAUCCUUGAAUCUCUCCAAAAGUAUAAAAAAGGACUCACUAGGCUUUUGCCUAAAUUGAAGGAUAUCAAUUCUAAGCUU